ACAUGAGUUUCUUGGACCUGCCCCAUGAUGGGAUUGGACCACUGAAUUUGUUGUAUGAGAAGUCUAAAUAGACAAGUUCAGUCAGAUUGGCCAUUGAAAUUGGAAUUAAUCCAUUGAAGUUGCAAGCUGCAAGCUCUAUUCUUGACAAACUCCCAAGUGUACCGAUGGAAUCUGUUAGUCUCCCUGAAAAAUUUGUGCUGCUGAGCACCAA
rnacentral:misc_RNA from 1 species